GGGAGAUGGACAAGCGGAGACAAAUAGAGAAAGAGUGUGGCAGAAGGAAAGGAGAGCGCGAGACGGAGAUGAGAUGAAGAUAUGGAAAGCCUGGAGAUUGUAAUCUGCACACAGAUUACAAUCUGUGUACAGAGCAGCUCAUGGCUGAAGGGCCUGCAAACCAGCACAGGCGCUGAUCAGUGACAUGCAUGCAACGUGGAAGAAGUAAUGGGUCAAUGCAAAAGCUUGGGACAGC